rnacentral:rRNA from 1 species
AGUGAACGCUGGCGGCAGGCCUAACACAUGCAAGUCGAACGGCAGCACAGGAGAGCUUGCUCUCUGGGUGGCGAGUGGCGGACGGGUGAGGAAUGCGUCGGAACCUGCCGUAUUUGUGGGGGAUAACGUAGGGAAACUUACGCUAAUACCGCAUACGACCUACGGGUGAAAGUGGGGGACCGCGAAGGCCUCACGCAGAU